CGUUGCUAGGCGACAUGCCGCCCGGUGGAGCAUGCGCAGAAAGAGGGCCUGCCUGCAAAGAAUCGCUCUCCGAGUCGUGUGCGUGGUGUGGAACCCUUUGCUGUGCCUCGGCGAGCUUGACGAAGAGGUGAUGUCCGACGAUGAAGAUGUCGCAUAUGUCAAGCGACAAAAAGUUGUUCACUAUGGAAGCCUUGAAGAAAAAGAGCGUCAGAGACUGGCAGAUAGAGAAGCUGAAGAUGGUAGUGAUGAUGAUUCACAAAGCAUGGACGUCAAAGCAGCCAUGGCCUCCGGAAACAUUCACAUAUCUGAGGAAUACAUGGAGAUUGAGGAUGAAAGUGGCCGAGACAAACAGCAGCUGCUUGAGGAGUUCGAGAGAAGAAAAAAGGCUCGUCAGAUCAACGUAUCAACUGAUGACACUGAGGUCAAGUCAACUUUGCGCGAUAUGGGAGAACCUAUUUGCCUGUUUGGGGAGGGCCCUGCAGACCGGCGGGAACGCUUGCGUCACCUUUUGGCAUUGGUUGGACAAGAUGCAAUACGGCGCAAGAAGGAAGAAGAACGUGAGAGAGAGCGAGAGCUGCGGAAGGACACAUACGAAACAACUUGGUAUCAUGAAAGUAAUGAGAAGCUGCGCGAGUGCCGUCUUUGGAUAGCACGUUUCUCCUUACCUCGUGCCCGGCACCGUAUCGCCACAGCCAAAGAGAAACUGAAAGCCCAAGGACCUGCUGCAUCAGAUUCACAGCUGCAUGCCAAGCGGCAGGAACUGUACAAGACUCUCAGAUCUUUGAAUAUCAACUGCAGCCAAAUUGGGGAUACACGCCCAAUCUCCUUUUGUGAGUUUAGUCCCAACUCGCAAAUGCUAGCAACAUCUUCCUGGAGUGGGCUGUGCAAGCUGUGGUCGAUCCCAGAGUGCAACCCCAUCAGGACGUUAAGAGGACACAACUGUAAUGUGGGUGCCAUUACAUUCCACCCACGGUCAACUUACCUGCAGUCGGAGAAUGCACUCAACAUGGCCUCUUGCUCUGCUGAUGGCGUUGUCAACUUGUGGAACUUGAAGAGUGAAGAGCCAAUCAGCUCAUUGAGAGGGUUGUGCCCACACAGGGUCUCCAGAGUGGCAUUCCACCCGUCUGGACGCUUCUUAGCAUGCUGUGUAUUUGAUCAUUCUUGGCGCCUAAUAGACUUGGAAACUGAAACAGAGGUGCUACACCAAGAAGGGCACAGCAAAGCUGUUUAUGACAUUAGCUUCCAAUGUGAUGGUUCAUUGGCUGCUACUGGUGGCAUGGAUGCAUUUGGGCGUGUCUGGGACCUCCGUACUGGGCGUUGCAUCAUGUUUCUAGAUGGUCAUCUGAAAUCUGUGCUAAGCCUCUGCUUCUCGCCCAAUGGCUAUGUCCUGGCCACUGGCAGUGAAGACAACACUAUCAAGCUGUGGGACUUAAGGCAAAGAAAGUGUGAAUACACCAUUCCUGCUCAUCACAACCUUGUGUCAAGGGUAAUUUUUGAAAAAUUGUCUGGGGAAUACCUUGUCACAACAUCGUACGACAACACUGUUAAGAUCUGGUCCAAUCCUGAAUGGACUCCAAUACAUAGCCUCAGUGGUCACGAUGGCAAAAUUAUGGGUGCUGACAUUUCACCUAAUGGGAAAUACUUGGCGACAUCAUCCUUUGACCGCACAUUUAAGCUUUGGACUCCAGAAUAAAAUUAUGCCGAUGCUGGUGCUCGCUGCAGGAACGGCCGCCUAAGUGCUGCACUCUAAAAAGAGCCUUGCGGAUUGUGAAGUUCCCUAGCAUAUACAAUUGAAGCAGACCACUUUUUCAAGAACUCCUGCAUACUACCAUUUCUACUUGUAUUUGGAUUAAAGGUGUCAUGUAACGGACCAUAGCAUCAUAAACAACUACCCACUUGACAUUAAGCCUGUUUAAUAUACCAACCUCUAGCACUAGAUAGGCGAGCAACCUAAAUUUCAAUCUCUCUGCCACUCCUGAUGUCAGUGGUCGUGGCAAUUUUAUAGUGUGAAUAUCUGGAAUACAUUGCUACUUAGCACUAAAGUGGCUAAAAAUUUCAAACUUGCAGUUAAAUGCAUUUUAUUGGCAAGGAUAUAAUUCCACAUGUACUACAUUUUUCAUAGUGCUUGUUUCUAUUAUCUCUUAAUCUUUAUCGUGAUGAGCUAUUAAUGUAUGAAAGUAGGGGCUUCCACUUGCUUUAGCUAUUGGCCCAACAGUUUUGUGAUGUAUUGUUUUCAUUUAAAUCAAUAAAAAAAUCUUGUACUACUAAAAAACAGAAGAUGAAACCAGCGAAUUUCACCUUUACAGAAUGGAACUUUAUUUGCCCUAAAUGUCCAACGUCAUCACUCUCAGACAGCAGUUUAUCACUGUCCAUGAACCACAACGUGCUUGUCUGGCCAUGAACCACUACAUUACAUGUUGGACCUUCUGCAUUUAUGAAACGACUCUGCGAUAAUCACAAAUGGGAUGAUAACCCACACCUAGACUAACCACUUUGCUAGUUCAUCCUGCGACCCUGGUGGUUCUCUGGAACACCAAAAACAUGUGACAGGACUUGUUCUGCUAGCUUAGCAUGUAAAAUAACAUUGUUUGAAUGCGCUUUCGUAAUUGAUGAUUGAAAGCGACUCAUUAUUGUUGUCUUAAGCCAUACAAGAACUUUCUCUGUAGCCGACUUGUGAUGGCAAUGGCGAUGACACUGGCUUUGCUGGCUCUGGUAUUAGGCUGUUGUGAUUGCUAACAUGGUUUUCAUUUAGUAUCCAAAUGGCACCGCACAGUCAAUUUUCGGACCAAUCUUGGAAAAGAAGGUACACAAGUGGACUAUCAAGUGCCUUCGACUCGGCCAGUCUCGCAGCCUUCGGGUGACAAUGCAUCUGCCCGGGUUCAAAAAAAAAAAAGAAGAAUCAUCAUUUGUUUAAAAAAUUGCAGCGUUAAAAAGUAUAUCACCGCUUGGCACUGAUAAACUUGAAUUUGCUAUA